AACGAACGCUGGCGGCAUGCCUAACACAUGCAAGUCGAACGAGACCUUCGGGUCUAGUGGCGCACGGGUGCGUAACGCGUGGGAACCUGCCCUUAGGUUCGGAAUAACUCCCCGAAAGGGGUGCUAAUACCGGAUAAUGUCUUCGGACCAAAGAUUUAUCGCCUUUGGAUGGGCCCGCGUUGGAUUAGCUAGUUGGUAGGGUAAAAGCCUACCAAGGCGACGAUCCAUAGCUGGUCUGAGAGGAUGAUCAGCCACACUGGGACUGAGACACGGCCCAGACUCCUGCGGGAGGCAGCAGUGGGGGAUAUUGGACAAUGGGCGAAAGCCUGAUCCAGCAAUGCCGCGUGAGUGAUGAAGGCCUUAGGGUUGUAAAGCUCUUUUACCCGGGAUGAUAAUGACAGUACCGGGAGAAUAAGCUCCGGCUAACUCCGUG
rnacentral:rRNA from 1 species